rnacentral:rRNA from 1 species
UACGUAGGGUGCGAGCGUUGUCCGGAAUUACUGGGCGUAAAGAGCUUGUAGGUGGUUUGUCGCGUUGUUCGUGAAAUCUCACGGCUCAACUGUAAGCGUGCGGGCGAUACGGGCAGACUAGAGUACUGCAGGGGAGACUGGAAUUCCUGGUGUAGCGGUGAAAUGCGCAGAUAUCAGGAGGAACACCGGUGGCGAAGGCGGGUCUCUGGGCCGAGACUGACGCUGAGGCGCGAAAGCGUGGGGAGCAAACAGG